GUCCACGCCCUAAACGAUGAAUACUAGGUGUGGGGACUGACCCUUCCGUGCCGCAGUUAACACAAUAAGUAUUCCACCUGGGGAGUACGGCCGCAAGGUUGAAACUCAAAGGAAUUGACGGGGCCCGCACAAGCAGUGGAUUAUGUGGUUUAAUUCGACGCAACGCGAAGAACCUUACCAGGGCUUGACAUCCAACUAACGAAGCAGAGAUGCAUUAGGUGCCCUUCGGGAAAGUUGAGACAGGUGGUGCAUGGUUGUCGU
rnacentral:rRNA from 1 species